UAUCCUGUCUGAAUAUGGGGGGACCAUCCUCCAAGGCUAAAUACUCCUGACUGACCGAUAGUGAACCAGUACCGUGAGGGAAAGGCGAAAAGAACCCCUGUGAGGGGAGUGAAAUAGAACCUGAAACCGUGUACGUACAAGCAGUAGGAGCACCUUCGUGGUGUGACUGCGUACCUUUUGUAUAAUGGGUCAGCGACUUAUAUUCAGUGGCAAGGUUAACCGUAUAGGGGAGCCGUAGCGAAAGCGAGUCUUAACUGGGCGCUCAGUCUCUGGAUAUAGACCCGAAACCGGGUGAUCUAGCCAUGGGCAGGUUGAAGGUUGAGUAACAUCAACUGGAGGACCGAACCGACUAAUGUUGAAAAAUUAGCGGAUGACUUGUGGCUAGGGGUGAAAGGCCAAUCAAACUCGGAGAUAGCUGGUUCUCCCCGAAAGCUAUUUAGGUAGCGCCUCGGACGAAUACUACUGGGGGUAGAGCACUGUUAAGGCUAGGGGGUCAUCCCGACUUACCAACCCUUUGCAAACUCCGAAUACCAGUAAGUACUAUCCGGGAGACACACGGCGGGUGCUAACGUCCGUCGUGGAGAGGGAAACAACCCAGACCGCCAGCUAAGGUCCCAAAGUAUUGCUAAGUGGGAAACGAUGUGGGAAGGCUCAGACAGCUAGGAUGUUGGCUUAGAAGCAGCCAUCAUUUAAAGAAAGCGUAAUAGCUCACUAGUCGAGUCGGCCUGCGCGGAAGAUGUAACGGGGCUAAGCAAUACACCGAAGCUGCGGCAAUGUCUUUUAGACAUUGGGUAGGGGAGCGUUCUGUAAGCCGUUGAAGGUGAAUCGUAAGGUUUGCUGGAGGUAUCAGAAGUGCGAAUGCUGACAUGAGUAACGACAAAGGGGGUGAAAAACCUCCUCGCCGGAAGACCAAGGGUUCCUGUCCAACGUUAAUCGGGGCAGGGUGAGUCGACCCCUAAGGUGAGGCCGAAAGGCGUAAUCGAUGGGAAACGGGUUAAUAUUCCCGUACUUCUGACUAUUGCGAUGGGGGGACGGAGAAGGCUAGGUGGGCCAGGCGACGGUUGUCCUGGUUCAAGUGCGUAGGCUUGAGAGUUAGGUAAAUCCGGCUCUCUCUAAGGCUGAGACACGACGUCGAGCUACUACGGUAGUGAAGUCAUUGAUGCCAUGCUUCCAGGAAAAGCCUCUAAGCUUCAGAUAGUCAGGAAUCGUACCCCAAACCGACACAGGUGGUCGGGUAGAGAAUACCAAGGCGCUUGAGAGAACUCGGGUGAAGGAACUAGGCAAAAUGGUACCGUAACUUCGGGAGAAGGUACGCUCUUGAUGGUGAAGUCCCUCGCGGAUGGAGCUGACGAGAGUCGCAGAUACCAGGUGGCUGCAACUGUUUAUUAAAAACACAGCACUGUGCAAAAUCGCAAGAUGACGUAUACGGUGUGACGCCUGCCCGGUGCCGGAAGGUUAAUUGAUGGGGUUAGCGCAAGCGAAGCUCUUGAUCGAAGCCCCGGUAAACGGCGGCCGUAACUAUAACGGUCCUAAGGUAGCGAAAUUCCUUGUCGGGUAAGUUCCGACCUGCACGAAUGGCGUAAUGAUGGCCACGCUGUCUCCACCCGAGACUCAGUGAAAUUGAAAUCGCUGUGAAGAUGCAGUGUACCCGCGGCUAGACGGAAAGACCCCGUGAACCUUUACUACAGCUUGGCACUGAACAUUGAACCUACAUGUGUAGGAUAGGUGGGAGGCUAUGAAGACGUGACGCCAGUUGCGUUGGAGCCGUCCUUGAAAUACCACCCUUGUAUGUUUGAUGUUCUAACUUAGACCCAUUAUCUGGGUUGAGGACAGUGCCUGGUGGGUAGUUUGACUGGGGCGGUCUCCUCCCAAAGAGUAACGGAGGAGCACGAAGGUGGGCUAAUCACGGUUGGACAUCGUGAGGUUAGUGCAAUGGCAUAAGCCCGCUUAACUGCGAGAAUGACGGUUCGAGCAGGUGCGAAAGCAGGUCAUAGUGAUCCGGUGGUUCUGUAUGGAAGGGCCAUCGCUCAACGGAUAAAAGGUACUCCGGGGAUAACAGGCUGAUACCGCCCAAGAGUUCAUAUCGACGGCGGUGUUUGGCACCUCGAUGUCGGCUCAUCACAUCCUGGGGCUGAAGUCGGUCCCAAGGGUAUGGCUGUUCGCCAUUUAAAGUGGUACGCGAGCUGGGUUUAGAACGUCGUGAGACAGUUCGGUCCCUAUCUGCCGUGGGCGUUGGAAGAUUGAAGGGGGCUGCUCCUAGUACGAGAGGACCGGAGUGGACGAACCUCUGGUGUUCGGGUUGUGUCGCCAGACGCAUUGCCCGGUAGCUAAGUUCGGAAUUGAUAAGCGCUGAAAGCAUCUAAGCGCGAAGCGAGCCCUGAGAUGAGUCUUCCCUGACAGUUUAACUGUCCUAAAGGGUUGU
rnacentral:rRNA from 1 species